rnacentral:rRNA from 1 species
AUUGAACGCUGGCGGCAGGCCUAACACAUGCAAGUCGAGCGGAGCGGCGGAAGGGUGAGUAAUGCCUAGGAAUCUGCCUGGUAGUGGGGGAUAACGUCAGGAAACGGGCGCUCAUCCCGCAUAAUAUCAGAUGAGCCUAGGGUGGAUUAGCUAGUUGGUGGGGUAACGGCCUACCAAGGCGAAGAUCCGUAACUGGUCUGCGAGGAUGAUCAGUCACACUGGAACUGAGACACGGUCCAGACUCCUACGGGAGGCAGCAGUGGGGAAUAUUGGACAAUGGGCGAAAGCCUGAUCCAGCCAUGCCGCGUGUGUGAAGAAGGUCUUCGGAUUGUAAAGCACUUUAAGUUGGGAGGCGUUACCAACAGAAUAAGCACCGGCUAACUUCGUGCCAGCAGCCGCGGUAAUUC